rnacentral:rRNA from 1 species
UACAGAGGGUGCAAGCGUUGUUCGGAAUUACUGGGCGUAAAGCGUGCGUAGUCGGUAUUGAGAGUCGCGGGUGAAAUCCCAGGGCUUAACCCUGGAACUGCCUGCGAGACCUCAGUACUAGAGUGUGAGAGGGGAUAGUGGAAUACCCAGUGUAGCGGUGAAAUGCGUAGAGAUUGGGUGGAACACCGGUGGCGAAGGCGGCUAUCUGGCUCACAACUGACGAUCAGGCACGAAGGCGUGGGGAGCAAACAGG